rnacentral:rRNA from 1 species
CCUACGGGGGGCAGCAGUGAGGAAUAUUGGUCAAUGGGAGAGAUCCUGAACCAGCCAAGCCGCGUGAGGGAAGACGGCCCUAUGGGUUGUAAACCUCUUUUGUCGGAGAACAAAACCCGGGACGUGUCCCGGACUGCGUGUAUCCGAAGAAAAAGCAUCGGCUAACUCCGUGCCAGCAGCCGCGGUAAUACGGAGGAUGCGAGCGUUAUCCGGAUUUACUGGGUGUAAAGGGAGUGUAGGCGGGAAAGUAAGUCAGAUGUGAAAACCAUGGGCUCAACCUGUGGCCUGCAUUUGAAACUGGUUUUCUUGAGUACUGGAGAGGCAGACGGAAUGCGUGGUGUAGCGGUGAAAUGCGUAGAUAUGAGGCGGAACACCAGUGGCGAAGGCGGUCUGCUGGACAGCAACUGACGCUGAGGCGCGAAAGCGUGGGGAGCAAACAGGAUUAGAUACCCUGGUAGUC